AGUGGCGGACGGGUGAGUAACGCGUGAGAAUCUGCCUUGGGGUCGGGGACAACCACUGGAAACGGUGGCUAAUACCGGAUAAGCCGAUUGGUGAAAGAUUUAUUGCCCGAAGAGGAGCUCGCGUCUGAUUAGCUAGUUGGUGAGGUAAGAGCUCACCAAGGCAGCGAUCAGUAGCUGGUCUGAGAGGACGAUCAGCCACACUGGGACUGAGACACUGCCCAGACUCCUACGGGAGGCAGCAGUGGGGAAUUUUCCGCAAUGGGCGAAAGCCUGACGGAGCAAGACCGCGUGAGGGAGGAAGGCUCUUGGGUUGUAAACCUCUUUUCUCAGGGAAGAAGCUCUGACGGUACCUGAGGAAUCAGCCUCGGCUAACUCCGUGCCAGCAGCCGCGGUAAUACGGAGGAGGCAAGCGUUAUCCGGAAUUAUUGGGCGUAAAGCGUCCGCAGGUGGCGAUUCAAGUCUGCUGUCAAAGCACGGGGCUUAACUCCGUAAAGGCAGUGGAAACUGAAUAGCUAGAGUGCCGUAGGGGUAGAGGGAAUUCCCGGUGUAGCGGUGAAAUGCGUAGAGAUCGGGAAGAACAUCGGUGGCGAAAGCGCUCUACUGGACGGCAACUGACACUCAGGGACGAAAGCUAGGGGAGCGAAUGGGAUUAGAUACCCC
rnacentral:rRNA from 1 species